rnacentral:ncRNA from 1 species
AAAAAAUUUAAUUUAUAUUUAAUUUUAAUUUAUAAAUUUAUAAUAGUAUAUAAAUUUUAGUUUAAAAUUUUAUUAAAUUAAUAAAUGGUUAAAAUUAAUAAUUAAAAUUAAUAAUUAAAGAAAUUUAUAAUUUGUAAUAUUUAUUAAAAGUAAAUUAAAAAAGUGCCAGCAAUAGCGGUUAAACUUUUUAUUUAAAAUUAAAUUAGUUAAUUAAUUAAUAAAUUGAAUUUUUAUAUAUAAUAAAUUAAUUAAAUUUAAUAUUUUUGGUUAAAUAUAAAAUUUUAUUAUUUAAUUAAUUUAUUUAAUAAUAAUAAUUUGAUAUUUAAUAAAAUUUAGGAUAAAAAUUAGGAUUAGAUACCCUAUUAUUUAAAUGUAAAUAAAUAUUUUAAUAAAGUAAAAUUGGAUAGUGAAAUAAAUAAAUUUGACGGUAUUUUAAUUUAUUCAGGGGAACUUGUAGUGUAAUUGAUGGUCCACGAUAAGGAAUACUUUUAUUUUUAAAUUUAUGUAUAUUCGUUUUAAAAUUUUCUUUUAAAAGUAAUAUUUUAAUUUUUAAAUUAAAGUUAAUUCAGGUAAAUAUAUAGUUUAUAUAAAAGAAUUUUAUGAGUUACAAUAAAUUAUAUUUAAUAAUUUAAUUAUUUAAUUAAUUAAUAAUUUAGGAUUUGAUGGUAAAUUUAAUUAAUUAAUUAAAUUGAUUAUUUAAAAAUUAAAAUAUGUACAUAUUGCCCGUCAAUUUAGUUUGAAUAAUUAAAAUAAUUAUUUAAAUUAAUUAAGUCGUAACAAAGUAAGAUUACUGGAAAGUGAUUUUAGAAUAUA